UACGUAGGGUGCAAGCGUUAAUCGGAAUUACUGGGCGUAAAGCGUGCGCAGGCGGUUUUGUAAGUCUGUCGUGAAAUCCCCGGGCUUAACCUGGGAAUGGCGAUGGAGACUGCAAGGCUAGAGUUUGGCAGAGGGGGGUAGAAUUCCACGUGUAGCAGUGAAAUGCGUAGAGAUGUGGAGGAAUACCGAUGGCGAAGGCAGCCUCCUGGGCCAACACUGACGCUCAUGCACGAAAGCGUGGGGAGCAAACAGG
rnacentral:rRNA from 1 species